rnacentral:rRNA from 1 species
AUCCAGACUCCUACGGGAGGCAGCAGUGGGGAAUAUUGCACAAUGGGGGAAACCCUGAUGCAGCGACGCCGCGUGAGCGAUGAAGUAUUUCGGUAUGUAAAGCUCUAUCAGCAGGGAAGAAGAUGACGGUACCUGACUAAGAAGCCCCGGCUAACUACGUGCCAGCAGCCGCGGUAAUACGUAGGGGGCAAGCGUUAUCCGGAUUUACUGGGUGUAAAGGGAGCGUAGACGGCGAUGCAAGCCAGAUGUGAAAGCCCGGGGCUCAACCCCGGGACUGCAUUUGGAACUGUGUGGCUGGAGUGUCGGAGAGGCAGGCGGAAUUCCUAGUGUAGCGGUGAAAUGCGUAGAUAUUAGGAGGAACACCAGUGGCGAAGGCGGCCUGCUGGACGAUGACUGACGUUGAGGCUCGAAAGCGUGGGGAGCAAACAGGAUUAGAUACCCCAGUAA